ACACUCCUGCGGGAGGCAGCAGUGGGGAAUUUUGGACAAUGGGCGAAAGCCUGAUCCAGCAAUGCCGCGUGAGUGAAGAAGGCCUUCGGGUUGUAAAGCUCUUUUGUCAGGGAAGAAACGGUGAGAGCUAAUAUCUCUUGCUAAUGACGGUACCUGAAGAAUAAGCACCGGCUAACUACGUGCCAGCAGCCGCGGUAAUACGUAGGGUGCAAGCGUUAAUCGGAAUUACUGGGCGUAAAGCGUGCGCAGGCGGUUUUGUAAGUCUGAUGUGAAAUCCCCGGGCUCAACCUGGGAAUUGCAUUGGAGACUGCAAGGCUAGAAUCUGGCAGAGGGGGGUAGAAUUCCACGUGUAGCAGUGAAAUGCGUAGAUAUGUGGAGGAACACCGAUGGCGAAGGCAGCCCCCUGGGUCAAGAUUGACGCUCAUGCACGAAAGCGUGGGGAGCAAACAGGAUUAGAUACCCCAGUAGUCCCAU
rnacentral:rRNA from 1 species